UACGUAGGGGGCUAGCGUUGUCCGGAAUCAUUGGGCGUAAAGCGCGCGUAGGCGGCCAGAUAAGUCCGGUGUGAAAGUCACAGGCUCAACCUGUGAAUGCCGCUGGAAACUGUCUGGCUAGAGUCCGGAAGGGGCGAGUGGAAUUCCUGGUGUAGCGGUGAAAUGCGCAGAUAUCUGGAGGAAUACCGGUGGCGAAGGCGGCAUCCUGGACCAUUUACUGACGCUGAGGCGCGAAAGCUAGGGGAGCAAACGGG
rnacentral:rRNA from 1 species